UGUAACCCUGGUUAACAUAGCUCCCAAUAAAUAAAAGCCUGUUAAUAGAAACAGUCAAAAGAAAUAUAUUACAGGUUACAAAUAGUCAAUAAAUGGAUCUUAAUGGUUAAAACGACUCAUUAAAAACAUCAGUAGUUUUAUAUUUAUUUUAUUUGUGUUUAAAAACAUGUUAAAAGGUUAAGAACUUGCAAAUUCAUGGGUUUUUAUGUUAAUUCAGAAAAAAAAGCAAAAAUAUCUGUUCAAACUCUUAAUUUGAAGGGCACGUUGCAGCGUGACUCAUGAUCCGCUACAGCCAACCGGGUAGUUCUUUCACUUUGGCGCUGCAGGAGGAAGAGAUGCAGACAGUCCUUGCGGAGCUGCUGCGUAAAUGAGAAAAAAUAUAUAUUAAAUACCAACCUAGAAGUCCACAUAAAGCCAUUUUGAGAGACUGGAGAAGGUAUUUCUGUUUCCUGACCGGCUGUGCCUUGGUGAUGUUGUGAACAUAACUGAACGGGACUUGGCCAUUAAGGUUUGGACCGGGAAAUGCUGAGCUAGAACCGGAGUUGGAUUUCCUAAGCGUGAAACAAGAUGGCGAGCCGCCCUCGGACCCGUUGAACUGUGCCUUGCAGAAGGAGAAAAACUCCCCCUGCUGGAUGUUGCGUUCUUUCACUGGAAUCUGGUAGGAUUUAUCCAUACACCUCUGCAGAAGAACGCUGGACUCACAAAGCACGGGAUAACCAUUCAGAAUAAUUCUGGGAUUUAUGGUUAAAGGAGAAAUACAAUUUUUUUUGUUUUGUUUUUUUGUUUAAAGGGUUUGUUCAGUCUUUUGCUGAAUUGUUUUAAGUUUUUACAUUUAUGCUGUUUAUUUUAUUUAUUUUUGGUCAACCAUACAUUUCAAUGCUAUAAUGGUAUUAAUGAAAAUGUAAAUUUUGUGGGUGAAACCAAAUAGGAAAUGAUUGAAAUUUAAAGGUGAACUAAACCAAAAUUAAAUUAAAUUUUGGAAUUAAAGAACUAAACUAGAUUUAAAAUAACACAGUGUUAACUUAAAUAGAUUAAAGAACAAACUUGAACUUAGAACUUGAAAUUAAUAAAACAACAACCUAGGUUGAAAAUGGCAUCCUUUUAAAGCCAAAUUAAAGGUUUUGAGACAAAUAGGAUAAAUGGGAACUACUGGACAAAAAGGGGAAAAUUAAAAUAUCUUAUUUCCCUGGUGUUAAUUGUUUUAUGUGUAUUGUGAAUUGUAUGUCAACUGUCUAUUUUCUGUUUUUUUCUAAAAAUAAUAAGCCGGUGAUUUAAACUUA